UGGCUCUGGCAUCGAUGAAGAACGCAGCGAAAUGCGAUAAGUAGUGUGAAUUGCAGAAUUCCGUGAAUCAUCGAAUCUUUGAACGCACAUUGCGCCCCUCGGUAUUCCGUGGGGCAUGCCUGUUCGAGCGUCAUUUACACCCUCAAGCUCUGCUUGGUCUUGGGCGUCUGUCCGCAUGGACUCGCCUCAAAGCGAUUGGCGGCUGGUACUGUAGCUUGGAAAGCAGCACAUUGCAUUCUUUGUCUACGGGCUAGUUCCCAUAAAGCUAUUCUUUAUUUUGUUUGACCUCGAAUCAGGUAGGGAUACCCGCUGA
rnacentral:misc_RNA from 1 species